AGGAACAUUGUCUGGUCGGAGGGCUGCUGAGAAUAGCCCGGAGCUUGACCCUCACCCACAUGUGCAUGCCAGGGCCCCAUGAGCACCACUACAGAUCAUGGAAGACCCCAUCCCAUCCUCCUCUGGUAACCAACCCGUCACACAACUGGAGCCAUGAUGAUAUGUGGAAUCUCAUGACCAUCUGGGGUGAGCAGGAGACCCAAGACCAGCUCCACAAAGAGCACUACACCAGGUUUUUGACCGCUAGGCUAUUACUUAGAAGUGGGGCGCUGCUGCUUCUGCCACUGCCUCUGCUGCCACCACCACUGCUGCCACCUCUAGAACCACCAUUGUGAAACAAAGUGGUAUCUACAACUGCAUUUUUUGAGAAGCCCCAUCUGUAUAUGGUACUUUCCAUGUGUGCUGCCCAGCAGGCUAUUUCAGCUGAAGGAUUGAUAUGAAUGUAGGGCUAUUUAAUUUGAAGGUCCAUAUAAGAAGUUUGCCAUCCAUGCAGUUUUGUUACUAUCUGGAAGGAAAGUUUUGACAUAUGAAAUUGUCCACCCACCAUUGAAAAAUUCAGACAUGCCUUAUAAUUAUAUGGAGAAACCUUAUGGA